AUGGCACCUUUACAGAGCGCUUGGUUGCCCUGGUUACUACCAACGGGGAAGACACGAGGUCCCACGAUCACCUUUUCGCCGGUUUUGUCUAGUCUAGACUGGUCGAGAUGGAGAAAAAUCAUACAGCCAUUUCGAUUGGACCCAUUACAAAUGUAUGGAUUUAGCUGCCGGCGUCCUCCGGGAGACAGACAGCAAGGGCUGCCUUUCCUACUUCCACUUGUCAGUUCAUUCUCUGGAAGGGACUCUCACAACGUAUUUGCUGAGUAUUAGGUCUGCAGCUGUGUGCACCGACUGUUCCUUGAUUCUCUUCCUUAUCUUGUGCCACUCUUUGCCAGCUAAAAAAUAAAUUAGCCUGCUCACUAUUGCCUACCUUAAUC
rnacentral:lncRNA from 1 species